AUUGAACGCUGGCGGCGUGCCUAACACAUGCAAGUCGAGCGGUAACAGGUGUAGCAAUACAUGCUGACGAGCGGCGGACGGGUGAGUAACGCUUGGGAAUCUGCCUAUUAGUGGGGGACAACCCGGGGAAACUCGGGCUAAUACCGCAUACGCUCUACGGAGGAAAGCCGGGGACCGCAAGGCCUGGCGCUAAUAGAUGAGCCCAAGUCGGAUUAGCUAGUUGGUAGGGUAANGGCCUACCAAGGCGACGAUCCGUAACUGGUCUGAGAGGACGACCAGUCACACCGGAACUGAGACACGGUCCGGACUCCUACGGGAGGCAGCAGUGGGGAAUAUUGGACAAUGGGCGAAAGCCUGAUCCAGCGACGCCGCGUGGGUGAAGAAGGCCUGCGGGUUGUAAAGCCCUUUCAGUGGGGAAGAAAAGCCUCGACCUAACACGUCGGGGUCUUGACGUAACCCAUAGAAGAAGCACCGGCUAACUCUGUGCCAGCCGCCGCGGUAAU
rnacentral:rRNA from 1 species